rnacentral:misc_RNA from 1 species
AACGCACGAGACCUGCGGACCUGCGGAAGGAUCAUUACCGAGUUUACAACUCCCAAACCCCAUGUGAACAUACCUGUUUCGUUCCCUCGGCGGUGUCCGGCAACGGCCCGCCAGAGGACCCAACAAACUCUUUUGAAUUUUUCAGUAUCUUCUGAGUGAAAAAAACAAUAAAUCAAAACUUUCAACAAUGGAUCUCU